rfam:Flavobacterium cauense R2A-7 FCR2A7T_15, whole genome shotgun sequence.
UACCUUUGCACCACGUUUUAGGACAAACCUAUUGCGCUACAUAAUAAUCAUUUAAAGGAUAUUAGCAUG